AGCCAAUCAGCGUUCAGAAUUUACAAAUGCUAUAUUAUAAAGUAAUUUGUAAACUGUUCAAGUGCGCUCUGUUAAUAUUACGUGAAAUACGUCCUCCGCAGGUAACUCUGUAAUGUUAAGGCCAUUUUCCAUUGCAGUCCCGGAGCGAAGCCCUGGCGACUGAUUUUUCACGUGAUUAAAAUUGGUCGCUCCGCCCGCGUGGGUAAAGCGACUGCAAUGGAAAAUGGCCUUUAAAAAUUAAGAUUUCUUACCAGAAACGUUGGAAACGUUAAAUAUCUAUGGCGUUAUGGAAAUAUCCAUUUACAAAUCCCUUCAACAAUUAGUUCUAUCGAGUAAGAAUCCUGAUUUUAUACCCAAAAUCCUGUUAUUUACCCAUACACCGUACAUUGACAUCACCUUAGUAUAAUAUACAUGAACUUGUGGUUGGAGCUCGACAACUGUCUCUCUGUAGCUCAGUUGGUACAGGGUGCGAUAAUUCGCAUACUUACGUACCGGAGGUACGCCAAUAUUACUGUCUGGUACUUCUUUGUUUUCAGCCACGUAUCACGUAGGUACGCGGAACUCUUGCUAUCUGCGUACUUAUUUUUUGCUGGUAUCACAUGACCUUUCCUAGUCCAAGGUAUUCAAUACCGUAAUUUAGUUGGUAUAUCAUGUGUCUGAGAUGUCUUGGCAUGAAACAUGAUUGCACUGAUGGCACUAAGAAACGUUGGAGUCGGUUGUUUGAAAUAGCAAAACUGCCUUUUCAAAUAGCAAAACUGCCUUUUCAAAUAGCAAAACUCCCUUUUCAAAUAGCAAAACUGCCUUUUCAAAUAGCAAAACUCCCUUUUCAAAUAGCAAAACUCCCUUUUCAAAUAGCAAAACUCCCUUUUCAAAUAGCAAAACUCCCUUUUCAAAUAGCAAAACUCCCCUUUCAAAUAGCAAAACUCCUUUUUCAAAUAGCAAAACACCCUUUUCAAAUAGCAAAACUCCCUUUUCAAAUAGCAAAACACCC